rnacentral:sRNA from 1 species
AUUUAGAACUUCUUAAUUGCUGCUUCACUUCACUAUCAGCGCUUGUUGACAGAUGAACACUUGGCUAUUGAGAUGAUAGAGAUUUCCUUCAGUUGGGAAAGUCUCUGCAGUGAAGACUCGGUCUCCUUUUAGUUUUGGAGAUUAGCUAAGAAAGUAAACUUGUUGAUUCAGCAAGCGUGAAAACUUCAGCAUGGUCUCAUCUUUCAACCUGGAGUACGAUGGACCUGAGAUUAACUAGAAUGGAAUAAAUAUCUUAUAUUGACAAGUUUGUUUUUUCUUUUUAGAAAAAAAAUUAAGUCCAAUAGUUAUGUAUGUGUACCUAGUCAUUUUUUUUAAUGAUUAGAGCUCAAAUUAAACUGACUUAAAUUUGUCCAGCUGUACAUGCUAUUGUAUCUGUGUUUUUAUAUUCCUUGAGGCUGGAUGUUUAAACCUAGGCUAUAUGAGUAGUGUUUAAAGAUAACAGAUGUUUUGGGUAGUGUACAUCAUUACGGAAACUAUCUCACAAUUCACAAGAGUAUGCACUCUAGUUGUCACCAAAAGGAAAGCAUAAGUUUGCUUUUUCUUGAAUAUUAAAGUCUUACAAUUCAAGACUCGCUACAGAAUUAAGUUUAUCGAAUUUGAUCAUAUUGCAAUUUAAAUUUAUUAACAAAAUGAAUUCUUAUUUUAUAUGUGAUACUACUGACAAAUGUACAGUUCGGAUUGUCUUUAGAAUUAACUUAUUCAUUCAAACUCUGUUGUUGUGAGUUUAAAUUGUGCCAUUAAUUAUUACUUUUUUAAAGUAUUUGUAAUAUUUAUAAUUGUCUAUAAUCUAUCUAUAAUCUUGUUUUUUCC